rnacentral:rRNA from 1 species
UGGGGAAUUUUGGACAAUGGGGCGAAAGCCUGAUCCAGCAAUGCCGCGUGUGUGAAGAAGGCCUUCGGGUUGUAAAGCACUUUUGUCCGGAAAGAAAUCCUUGGGCUCUAAUACAGUCGGGGGAUGACGGUACCGGAAGAAUAAGCACCGGCUAACUACGUGCCAGCAGCCGCGGUAAUACGUAGGGUGCAAGCGUUAAUCGGAAUUACUGGGCGUAAAGCGUGCGCAGGCGGUUUGCUAAGACCGAUGUGAAAUCCCCGGGCUCAACCUGGGAACUGCAUUGGUGACUGGCAGGCUAGAGUAUGGCAGAGGGGGGUAGAAUUCCACGUGUGAGCAGUGAAAUGCGUAGAGAUGUGGAGGAAUACCGAUGGCGAAGGCAGCCCCCUGGGCCAAAUACUGACGCUCAUGCACGAAAGCGUGGGGAGCAAACAGGAUUAGAUACCCUGGUAGUCCACGCCCUAAA